UACGUAGGGACCAAGCGUUGUCCGGAAUCAUUGGGCGUAAAGCGCGCGUAGGCGGCCCGGUAAGUCCGUUGUAAAAGUCGAAGGCUCAACCUUCGAAAGCCGAUGGAUACUGCCGGGCUAGAGUACGGAAGAGGCGAGUAGAAUUCCUGGUGUAGCGGUGGAAUGCGCAGAUAUCAGGAGGAAUACCCAUAGCGAAGGCAGCUCGCUGGGACGUUACUGACGCUGAGGCGCGAAAGCGUGGGGAGCAAACAGG
rnacentral:rRNA from 1 species